AAAUUGAAGAGUUUGAUCAUGGCUCAGAUUGAACGCUGGCGGCAGGCCUAACACAUGCAAGUCGAACGGUAACAGGAAGCAGCUUGCUGCUUCGCUGACGAGUGGCGGACGGGUGAGUAAUGUCUGGGAAACUGCCUGAUGGAGGGGGAUAACUACUGGAAACGGUAGCUAAUACCGCAUAACGUCGCAAGACCAAAGAGGGGGACCUUCGGGCCUCUUGCCAUCGGAUGUGCCCAGAUGGGAUUAGCUUGUUGGUGGGGUAACGGCUCACCAAGGCGACGAUCCCUAGCUGGUCUGAGAGGAUGACCAGCCACACUGGAACUGAGACACGGUCCAGACUCCUACGGGAGGCAGCAGUGGGGAAUAUUGCACAAUGGGCGCAAGCCUGAUGCAGCCAUGCCGCGUGUAUGAAGAAGGCCUUCGGGUUGUAAAGUACUUUCAGCGGGGAGGAAGGGAGUAAAGUUAAUAC
rnacentral:rRNA from 1 species